rnacentral:rRNA from 1 species
CCUACGGGAGGCUGCAGUGAGGAAUAUUGGUCAAUGGGCGAGCGCCUGAACCAGCCAAGUCGCGUGAGGGAGUACUGCCCUAUGGGUUGUAAACCUCUUUUGUCGGGGAGCAAAAGCCGGACGUGUCCGGCUGUGAGAGUACCCGAAGAAAAAGCAUCGGCUAACUCCGUGCCAGCAGCCGCGGUAAUACGGAGGAUGCGAGCGUUAUCCGGAUUUAUUGGGGUUAAAGGGUGCGCAGGCGGAUUUUUAAGUCAGCGGUCAAAUCGUGGGGCUCAACCCCAUCCAGCCGUUGAAACUGGGGAUCUAGAGUGUGCGAGAGGUAUGCGGAAUGCGUGGUGUAGCGGUGAAAUGCAUAGAUAUCACGCAGAACCCCGAUUGCGAAGGCAGCAUACCGGUGCACAACUGACGCUCAGGCACGAAAGCGUGGGUAUCGAACAGGAUUAGAUACCCUAGUAGUC